rnacentral:rRNA from 1 species
UACGGGGGGGGCAAGCGUUGUUCGGAUUUACUGGGCGUAAAGGGCGCGUAGGCGGCGCAACAAGUCACUUGUGAAAUCUCCGGGCUUAACCCGGAGCGGCCAAGUGAUACUGUCGUGCUAGAGUGCGGAAGGGGCUACUGGAAUUCUCGGUGUAGCGGUGAAAUGCGUAGAUAUCGAGAGGAACACCUGCGGCGAAGGCGGGUAGCUGGGCCGACACUGACGCUGAGGCGCGAAAGCCAGGGGAGCGAACGGG